UAUAGGGCCAUAUAUCUGCCUGGUGCACCUGUCAUCUCUACAAGGCCCUGGACUAGUUUGCUGUAGCCUCUGGAAAGAGAAGAGUUGGCUACCGACUCCUUGCCAUUGACGUUUCAUCUCAUUUGUCGGAAUAGCGUGAAGACCUAGAUUUUAAACCUGUUCUGGACUCUCACCCUGACCCACAGAACCUGCAUCAUCUGCUUGGGUAACACCGAACCAGAUUUCACCUGAUCCUUCUGAACUGAGGGAGGGGAAUAUCACAAAAGCACCAGAAGAACACUAGCCUCCCAGAGGCCUGAUGGGAUUUCCUGUACCAGAACGACUCGGACAGAGAAAGAGCCUCAUUGUUCAGAGCCAGCAGACAUUGAAGAUCAUUGUGGACUCUCACAACGAAUCUCGACAGCCAGCAAAUCAUCUCAUUCCUAUUCUCAGGGCUGACUUACGCAACAUCCCAGAGGCCUCCCUACAAGAGUUAAGGAUUGAUGUUUUAGCUAGCAAUUCCUCUCUCCACAGUCCCUUGGAAGCACCGAGUCUCAAAACUUUUCAAUCUGUGAACCUCUUUGAUGAGGCAAAAACCUGCCAACCAUUUGCCCUACCUGUUUGCUCUUGCUCUGAACACAAGGGAGAGCUUGCCUUUGCUCAUUCUUUCUGUCCAGUGUUUUUGAUGGAUGGUGAGUUUCCAGCCACCCAACUGCUCGGAACAAAGACCACAUCUCCUUUUCUCUUUUCUCUUUAUGCUGGUUGGGGAACAUAAAUGUGUUUCUCGUUAUUUGCUCUGUUUUACAAUGUGAGUUCCUGCUGGGGUUCAUUGCUUUGGGGAUUACUAGGUAUUUCAUCUCUUACAAGACUGGCCCUUCCCUAAUGUUUAACAAUGGCUGUCUUUAUGAAGAGGACAGGACCUCCUGAAGUGCUUUGCGAGAUUUAAAGACUCAACCAAAUACUAAGAUUCAGGAGAUUUUUUCCUAUUCUACAAAAAAAUGCGUAACCCCCUUAUGGCUGGUGUGUGUAUAUAUUAUGAGAGUCGUUGCAGUGGUGGUGGGGACCGGGGUGCAGUCGUAUACUGGAGUAGAGUGGUGGGGGGUAGGACAGACCCAAAAAUAAUUCCCAGGUUAAAAGCCAUCAUAGCACAAUGAAAAAAAGAACAGGCGUUGGAGCCAGAAGGUCUGAUUUGAAUCCUGAUUCCUUUCUACUGGCUGUUGGAACAGCUAGUGACUUUGAGAAAGUUAAUUCACCAUCAUCGGGUGAAAGGAGGAUAAUAUAACCUGCUCUUUGGAUUGUUGUAAAGAUUAAAUGAGUGAGGUGCUGAGUGAAGGCACAUUACGGAUGCUUAAUAAUUGGUACCUCUUACCAUCAUCAUCCUGUGUGGUGGCGAGGAGUCAAGUGUUGUAAAUACGGGACCUGUGACCGAGGGAUACCCAAACCAUUGGUAUAGACUUUUAUAGUAGUUAUAGUUUGCUCUGUGUUUAAGGAUCCUCUAUGGGGACAAGGAGAGAACAUUGAUUAACCCAGCUCUGUGACCACAGGCAAGUCACUUAACCUUAGUGAUCUCAUUAAAGAAAUGUCCAUUGGGCCCCUGCCUCCUAGCUCCAGGGCACUGGGGCAUGUGUGAUGUGGAAAUCAUAAUAAUCCCCACCUUCACCAUGGGGUCCACCUGGGGAUCAAAUGAGAUAAAGUCUGUGAAAGUGCUUGGUAAACUUCCAGCACUAUCUAAAUGUAGUGCUGAGGCUCUGAGGCAGAUAGAACACUUACUGCCCCAUUCAUGAGGUUCAGAUUCAAGUCUCCAUUCCUGGGCAUUCAGCAGACAGCAAACACUUUCUGUUUGGCUUUAGCAUUGUAUGAAAAGUAAACAGUGGCUUUUCAGUUGCUUUGCUUUCUCUCUUCUCUGUUCAAAACAAAGCCAGGCCCUUUAAGUGCUUCCUGUCGAGUUUAGAGAGAGUUGGAUUGCAUAUCUCGCCCCAGCUCACAGGCCUUUAGAAGGUGGGGGAAGAGCCAGGCAUCAGAACAAGGAUGUCUAAAGAUACCUAUACUUAAUUAAGGAAAUAAGCUUUUUAAAGUAUCUAUUUAUUUGUUUUAUUUUUUAAAUUUACAUCCACAUUAGUUAGCAUAUAGUGCAGCAAUGAUUUCAGGAGUAGAUUCCUUAGUGCCCCUUACCCAUUUAGCCCAUCCCCCCUCCCACAACCCCUCCAGUAACCCUCAGUUUGUUCUCCAUAUUUAUGAGUCUCUUCUGUUUUGUCCCCCUCCCUGUUUUUUCUUUUAGUAUGAAAUUUAUUGUCACAUUGGUUUCCAUACAACACCCAGUGCUCAUCCCAACAGGUGCCCUUAUUAUUUUGGCUUCCCUUCCCUUAUGUUCAUCUGUUCUGUGUCUUAAAGAUCUCAUAUGAGUGAAGUCGUAGGAUAUUUGUCUUUCUCUGACUGAUGAAUUUCACUUAGCAUAAUACCCUCCAGUUCCAUCCACGUAGUUGCAAAUGGCAAGAUUUCAUUCUUUUUGAUUGCCGAGUAAUACUCCAUUGUGUACAUAUAUAUAUAUAUAUAUGUAUAUAUAUAUAUAUAUAUACCACAUCUUCUUUAUCCAUUCAUCCAUCGAUGGAAU
ensembl:lncRNA